rnacentral:rRNA from 1 species
UACGUAGGUGACAAGCGUUGUCCGGAUUUACUGGGCGUAAAGAGCGCGCAGGCGGUCGUUUCAAGUCGAGUGUGAAAGCCCCCGGCUUAACCGGGGAGGGUCGUUGGGGACGGCGGGGCUUGAGGGCGGGAGAGGUCGGUGGAAUUCCCGGUGUAGUGGUGAAAUUCGUAGAUAUCGAGAGGAACACCGGUGGCGAAGGCGGCCUUCUGGACAGUGACUGACGCUGAGACGCGAAAGCGUGGGGAGCAAACAGG